GGGGCGGUAGCUCAGUUGGUUAGAGCUCCGGACUCAUAAUCCGGUCGUCGUGGGUUCGAGCCCCACCCGCCCCAC
rnacentral:tRNA from 1 species